AGAUUGAACGCUGGCGGCAGGCCUAACACAUGCAAGUCGAGCGGCAGCACGGGUACUUGUACCUGGUGGCGAGCGGCGGACGGGUGAGUAAUGCCUAGGAAUCUGCCUGGUAGUGGGGGAUAACGCUCGGAAACGGACGCUAAUACCGCAUACGUCCUACGGGAGAAAGCAGGGGACCUUCGGGCCUUGCGCUAUCAGAUGAGCCUAGGUCGGAUUAGCUAGUUGGUGAGGUAAUGGCUCACCAAAGGCGACGAUCCGUAACUGGUCUGAGAGGAUGAUCAGUCACACUGGAACUGAGACACGGUCCAGACUCCUACGGGAGGCAGCAGUGGGGAAUAUU
rnacentral:rRNA from 1 species